rnacentral:rRNA from 1 species
GUAGAUCAGCAUGCUACGGUGAAUACGUUCCCGGGUCUUGUACACACCGCCCGUCACACCACGAGAGUUUGUAACACCCGAAGCCGGUGGAGUAACCUUUUAGGAGCUAGCCGUCGAAGGUGGGACAAAUGAUUGGGGUGAAGUCGUAACAAGGUAGCCGUAUCGGAAGGUGCGGCUGGAUCACCUCCUUUCUAAGGAGA